rnacentral:rRNA from 1 species
ACAGCAGUAGCCGCGGGAAUACGUAGGGUGCAAGCGUUAAUCGGAAUUACUGGGCGUAAAGCGUGCGCAGGCGGUUUGUUAAGACAGAUGUGAAAUCCCCGGGCUCAACCUGGGAACUGCAUUUGUGACAUGCAAGCUAGAGUAUGGCAGAGGGGGGUGGAAUUCCGCGUGUAGCAGUGAAAUGCGUAGAUAUGCGGAGGAACACCGAUGGCGAAGGCAGCCCCCUGGGCCAAUACUGACGCUCAUGCACGAAAGCGUGGGGAGCAAACAGGAUUAGAUACCCCAGUAGUCCCUGUCUCUUAUAC